AAUUAUUAAUUUAUUUUUUUUAUUUUAAAAAAAGUAUUUUUUAUAUAAGUAUGAUUAUAGAAUUUAAUUUUUGAAUUAUAGUGAAUUAGUAUAGUGAUAGAAUAUUGAAAUAUUAAGAAAUUUAAUUGUUUAAAAGAAGAAUUUAUUUUUUGUACCUUGUGUCUCAGGGUUUAUUAAAAAUUUUAUUUUCUAUAAGGUUUUCUCGAAUUAUUAAGGGCUAUUUAUAUAUUUAUUUAAUUGUUGAAUUAAUUUUUAUAAUAUAUAAUUAGUAAUGAAACGUUAUUCGUUUAUUAAGAUAUCUAGUUUUUUAAGAAAUAAAUUUAAUUUAGUUAAUUUGAUGUUUUUUACUUAUUUUGUAGGUUGAAAUUUAAAUUGAGUAAUAUUUUAAGGGAUAAGCUUUAAAAUAAAUGGUUUAUAAUUUUGUUUUUGUUAUAAAAUAUGUAGGGUUGAAAAUUUUUAUCUUUAGUUUGUUAUAAUUAGUUUUAUGUUUGUAUAAUAUUUAUAUUUUAUUUAGAUUGUUUAUUAAAAUUAUUUGUUUAUUAAUUUAAUAUAUGAAAUAAUGAUAAAAUUAGUAUAAUUUUUUGUAAUUUUAAAUUAAGCUUGAAAGGUUAAGUUAAGGAAUUCGGCAAAUAUAUUUUUCGCCUGUUUAUUAAAAACAUGUCUUUUUGAUUAUAAUUUAAAGUCUAGCCUGCCCAAUGAGGAGUUGAAUGGCCGCGGUAUUUUGACCGUGCAAAGGUAGCAUAAUCAUUAGUUUUUUAAUUAGAAGCUGGUAUGAAUGGUUGGACGAGAAGAUAGCUGUCUCAAUUUAAAUUUAAUUAAAAUUUUAUUUUUAAGUAAAAAAGCUUAAAUGAUUUUAAAAGACGAGAAGACCCUAUAGAGUUUUAUAUUGUUAUUGAUUUUCUAGUUUUAGUAUUAAUGUUUGGAUAAUUUUUAAUUGUAUUUUAUUGGGGCGAUAGAAAAAUUUAAUAAACUUUUUUUAUUUUUAAUCAUUAAUUAGUGAGUAUAUGAUCCGUUUAUUACGAUUAUAAGAUUAAAUUACCUUAGGGAUAACAGCGUAAUUUUUUUUGAGAGUUCUAAUCGAAAGAAAAGUUUGCGACCUCGAUGUUGGAUUAAAAUUUAUUUUUGGU
rnacentral:rRNA from 1 species